CCUACGGGAGGCAGCAGUGGGGAAUCUUAGACAAUGGGGGCAACCCUGAUCUAGCCAUGCCGCGUGAGUGAUGAAGGCCUUAGGGUCGUAAAGCUCUUUCGCCUGUGAUGAUAAUGACAGUAGCAGGUAAAGAAACCCCGGCUAACUCCGUGCCAGCAGCCGCGGUAAUACGGAGGGGGUUAGCGUUGUUCGGAAUUACUGGGCGUAAAGCGCGCGUAGGCGGAUUAGAAAGUUGGGGGUGAAAUCCCGGGGCUCAACCUCGGAACUGCCUCCAAAACUGCUAGUCUAGAGUUCGAGAGAGGUGAGUGGAAUUCCGAGUGUAGAGGUGAAAUUCGUAGAUAUUCGGAGGAACACCAGUGGCGAAGGCGGCUCACUGGCUCGAUACUGACGCUGAGGUGCGAAAGUGUGGGGAGCA
rnacentral:rRNA from 1 species